rnacentral:lncRNA from 1 species
GGCCUUUGGACUCAUGCUUUAUCACUGAUUUAUCAGAGUUCCAAAGUCUUUCAAAGUUGUCUUCUCCAUAAUGUGCUCAUCGCUGUAUAAAUUGUUCUCCUAAUUCUUAUCAUUUUGCACCGUUUCAGAGAGAUCUUCCCACUUUCCUCAUCUUCCAGAAUUCAAAUCUGGCCUCAGAUACUUCUUCGAUGUGCCAACCUGGGAAAAUGAUCUCUCUGCUGAAAACGAGGGAACAAAAAUGACUAACGGAGAGUUGAUAUCUGAGAUAAGAAAAACAGUAGGAAGCCCUCCUUGAUUGAAUUCAAGUCUCCUUAUCUGGAUGAAGUAUAGCUUCAAGUCCUUAGAGAACUGGAGAUGUGAUGGCUGAGCCUGGGACGGACAACUGAAAAGAUGAUUGAUGAACCUCUGGAAAGGGGAGCAGUGAUCACAAAGAACCAACCUGCAAGCACAGGUCAUGUCAGACCAAUGCUAUUUCCUUUUUUGACUGGAU